rnacentral:rRNA from 1 species
UACGUAGGGUGCUAGCGUUGUCCGGAAUCAUUGGGCGUAAAGAGCGUGUAGGCGGCUUGGUAAGUCCGCUGUGAAAGUCCAGGGCUUAACCCUGGAAAGCCAGUGGAAACUGUCAAGCUAGAGUCCGGAAGAGGUGAGUGGAACUCCUGGUGUAGCGGUGAAAUGCGCAGAUAUCAGGAAGAACACCAAUGGCGAAGGCAGCUCACUGGGACGGUACUGACGCUGAGACGCGAAAGCGUGGGGAGCAAACAGG